rfam:Citrus sinensis cultivar Ridge Pineapple sweet orange scaffold00204_contig_9, whole genome shotgun sequence.
CUUGGGAAAUGAUGAUACAACACUAUCACAAAAGGAAACAACGGUGCUGAAUAUAUAUUAUUUGCACGUCAGUCUGAUCCCAAA